CGAUCCGUAGCUGGUCUGAGAGGAUGAUCAGCCACACUGGGACUAGACACGCCCAGACUCCUACGGGAGGCAGCAGUGGGNNAUAUUGGACAAUGGGCGAAAGCCUGAUCCANNAAUGCCGNGUGUGUGAAGAAGGCCUGAGGGUUGUAAAGCACUUUCAGCGGGGAGGAAGGUAUAAGUGUUAAUACCAUUUAUGCUU
rnacentral:rRNA from 1 species